GGAGAUAUAGCUUGGUGGUAGAGUGUGUGCUUAGCUUGCAGGAAGGUACUGGGUUCAAUCCCUAGUACCUUCA
rnacentral:tRNA from 1 species